UGGUUUCCUUGUGACUACGACAUGGAACUACCAGAAAGGUUCGAUUGGUGUUCACAAGCUGGAACCUGAACGGUUCAACAAGAACCGUAGCCUCAAUGUCCAUGCAACUGCUGUUGAUAUCACAUCCUGCGGGAACUUUGCAGUGAUUGCACUGUCUUCGGGACACAUUGAUGUGUACAACAUGCAGUCUGGUUUUCAUCGAGGGCAUUAUGGGAAGGACAAGGCACAUGCAGGGGCUGUUCGCGGGCUCUCUGUGGAUGCUCUGAACCAGUUGACAGUUAGUGUGGGAGCAGAUCGCCUUCUGAAAAUCUGGAGGUUCAGAUCCAAGGAGCUGUUACACACACACAGCCUGCCAGCUGCCCCGGCGUCAUCUCUGCUUCACAG